rnacentral:rRNA from 1 species
UACGGAGGGGGGCUAGCGUUGUUCGGAAUCACUGGGCGUAAAGCGUGCGUAGGCGGCCAUUCAAGUCAGAGGUGAAAGCCCAGGGCUCAACCCUGGAACUGCCUUUGAAACUAGAUGGCUGGAACACGGGAGAGGUGAGUGGAAUUCCGAGUGUAGAGGUGAAAUUCGUAGAUAUUCGGAAGAACACCAGUGGCGAAGGCGGCUCACUGGACCGUUGUUGACGCUGAGGCACGAAAGCGUGGGGAGCAAACAGG